rnacentral:rRNA from 1 species
ACUUGCUUUCUUUGCUGGCGACCGGCGCACGGGUGAGUAACACGUAUCCAACCUGCCCUUUACUCGGGGAUAGCCUUUCGAAAGAAAGAUUAAUACCCGAUAGCAUAAUGAUUCCGCAUGGUUUCAUUAUUAAAGGAUUCCGGUAAAGGAUGGGGAUGCGUUCCAUUAGGUUGUUGGUGAGGUAACGGCCCACCAAGCCUUCGGUGGAUAGGGGUUCUGAGAGGAAGGUCCCCCACAUUGGAACUGGGACACGGUCCAA